AAGACCAAAUUAAAAUUCUAAAGUCAAACAAUAUCAAAGUUAAUAUCAAGUUAUUUCUAACAUCAACAAACAAUUAUCAAAAAAUAAUAUUCAACAAAUCAAGCAUUAGAAUUAAAAAUCAAUUUAAUACUAAUAAAUCCUAAACUAAUCCUACUAUUAAUCUAAUUAUCCUAAUAAUCCUAUAAUUAACCUAAACUUAAAUCCUAAAAACUCAACUUAAUCCUAAUUAAACUAAUGAAUUAGUUAAACUAGGAGAUAACACAAGGCCAUGGACUAUUAAGCCCAAACCCGGGGGGGGGGGGGAGAAACAAGUUUAUGGAGUGUGUGUUGGUAGAAGAGUUCAGUUUGAGCCUUAAGGAGAUUAAGCCCAAUCUGAGGGAUCAAAAGGAAGGACUACACGAUUCUCUUCCUUCCUCACUCGUUCAUGGCCGCAGCUCACCAGAAGAAGAAGAAGAAGAAAAACAACCACGCGGAUCCUGGCCGCAACAGUAAACUUGGCCGUGUCGGGUUUCGUCACCGGCAGCGGCGAUUCGUAGCAGUGACAAACACAUCAUCUCGACCUACGUCUCUCUCGGCAUAAACACAACUCAAUAACGAAACGAUCUGCGAUGUAAAUCCUACCGGCAACGGCGACGACGAAUUCAGAGCUUAGGUAACCAAACUUGCUUCGAUUCGUUAAUCCUCUUCCUUUCCUCUACUGGGAAUUUCCUGAUUUUUUGAGGAGUUAUUGAUCUUGUGGUAAACGAAGUCGUUCGUCCUUUGGUUCGAUUUGCAGAAAUUGUUAUGGUUCAGUGCCGAAUUUUGCAGAAGAAGGUGGUGAAAGAUGCGCAGGUGAGAAUCGGUUAUGAUUCUGUAUGGUUGCAUCGGGGUAAGAGAAGAGAGUUUCGGUUAGGUUGAAGAAGAAAGAAGUGAGAUAUGCAAAAUUGAUUCUGGUCUUUCAAAGAAAGAAAAAGAAAAAAGCAGCCUUCACUUGUGAAUCACCGUGCUUAUAUAGACUCUUAAGUUGCUGUACUGCGUUUGGAGCUGGUGGCUGCAGCUUUGGAUUUUGCUGUUAUUUCUGCGUUUGCAUUUCACUUUGUUGCGUUUGCGUUUCGCUUUGUCAACUUUGGUGCGUCGUUUGGAAGCUGCGUUCUGGACUUGGCUUACACGUUGUUUGGCUUGUACUGCUUAUUCUUGCAGCUGGUUUUUGACUUUUGUGUUGUUUUUCAGUUGUGGCUUUAUGCAGCUUUUCAAAUUGCUUUUCACAUUGCACUGCAAUUUCCUCAAUUGGAUAUGUCAAUGGAUAUGAAUGGACAUUGGUUAUUUGAAAUCGGAUUUUGAAUUAAAAUGGGCUUAA